rnacentral:rRNA from 1 species
UACGUAGGGGGCAAGCGUUGUCCGGAUUUAUUGGGCGUAAAGAGCGUGUAGGCGGCCAGGUAGGUCCGCUGUGAAAACCCGAGGCUCAACCUCGGGACGUCGGCGGAAACCAUCUGGCUAGAGUCCGGAAGAGGAGAGUGGAAUUCCCGGUGUAGCGGUGAAAUGCGCAGAUAUCGGGAAGAACACCCGUGGCGAAGGCGGCUCUCUGGGACGGUACUGACGCUGAUGUGCGAAAGCGUGGGGAGCAAACAGG